GCCUCGUUCAUGAGCCGGUGCCCAUUCUGAAAGGUGUAUACAACAACAAUCAAUAUCAACGGAGGCCACCUUAUAAUUGGCUCACAGGAAAAGAACUUUAAGCAUGCCCGAAUAUGUAAUUUACCAACAUUAUACAAGAUCAUCACUUGACGUUAUGCCUUUAUGCUUACGAGAGGAAAAUGACUAUCCCGACUUUGAGCAGAGCGCUGCUGUCCGAUUCUUUGAUUAUUUGACUGACAAAAUUCAAGCCGACGAAGUAUUUUCUGGAAGAACCUUUUCAGACACUACAUCGUCGUUAGAUGAUUCGAUUCCUGACCAUUCUGGCGAACUCAUCAAAAGAGAUCAUUUGAUGCAUCUCCAGAAGAAAUUUACGAAAAGUUUCUUUGAUUUUGAAGAAUUUCUCAGAAAGGUUGUACCAUCUAACUUGAAAAGAAAUGGAAUAUUGGGUGGAUAGUUUUGGCUCCAAGAGACUUUCUAUUUCAUGAGGAUUUUGUUAGUUUGACUGACGCAUGCAAAGAAUGGAAAAGUCUUCUGAAAGAAAAUAUCCGUGUAAAUUUUCCAUUAAUCAAGAAUUUAGCGGAAAGUGGAUGAUUUUUGGACGAAAUGGUCUACACGCUGAUCUUACUUGGAUACGCAUAGCCCGAGCUCACCGAGAAGGAAAGUUAGG